rnacentral:lncRNA from 1 species
GACUGGGCUAGUAGGGCCUAGGUGGUCGUGGAGGGAAAAGUGGGCAUGACCCGACCCGAUGUAUGAGAAAACUGAUUUUGAACCUGUGAAUGAAAAUGCAGGUACAUGCAAUGUCAAUGCAAAUAAUGCUAGUUAAGGGGAUUCUUGUACGUAGGUCUUUAGGCGCUAGGGGGAAAGGAAGUACAUAUCUGACCGAAUACCAUUAGGGCAAAACUGGGUUGAGCAACACAGCUGAGGGUUGCUCUUUGCAAGUUGAAGUGAAGAAAAGGCAUAGGAUAGUGGGUGUGUGCCGCUUAUG